UGUUUUGGUCCCAGUCAUUACUGCUAUAGCAGCAUUGAGCACCCUGUGCAUGGUUGCAAUUUUAUGUCUUGGUAAAAAUGCAUUGAUCAGGCAAGAUGCCACUGACGGUCACAAGGGUAAAGUAAUCCAGGUUGAGCAUCCAGGCGAGUUGACCUACAUAGCAGGACAUUGCAGAAGUGAACGGCAGAUUGUUAAAGACACUGAAGUUCAAACCCAGAUCAUAUAU